rnacentral:rRNA from 1 species
AGAGUUUGAUCAUGGCUCAGGACGAACGCUGGCGGCGUGCCUAACACAUGCAAGUCGAACGGAGAAUUUCAAGAAGCUUGCUUUGAGAAAUUUUUAGUGGCGGACGGGUGAGUAACGCGUGGGUAACCUACCCAUAAACCCGGGACAACCCUUGGAAACGAGGGCUAAUACCGGAUAAUCUUAGAUCUUGGCAUCAAGGUAUAAGGAAAGGUGGCCUCUGUAUAUGCUACCGAUUAAGGAUGGACCCGCGUCUGAUUAGCUAGUUGGUGGGGUAAAGGCCUACCAAGGCGACGAUCAGUAGCCGGCCUGAGAGGGUGAACGGCCACACUGGGACUGAGACACGGCCCAGACUCUUACGGGAGGCAGCAGUGGGGAAUCUUCCGCAAUGGACGAAAGUCUGACGGAGCAACGCCGCGUGUAUGAUGAAGGUCUUCGGAUUGUAAAGUACUGUCUUUGGGGAAGAAUGACUGAUUUGAAAAUAUUGAGUCAGUAUGACGGUACCCAAGGAGGAAGCCCCGGCUAACUACGUGCCAGCAGCCGCGGUAAUACGUAGGGGGCAAGCGUUGUCCGGAAUUAUUGGGCGUAAAGGGCGCGUAGGCGGAUAGUUAAGUCCGGUGUGAAAGAUCAGGGCUCAACCCUGAGAGUGCAUCGGAAACUGGUUAUCUUGAGGACAGGAGAGGAAAGUGGAAUUCCUAGUGUAGCGGUGAAAUGCGUAGAUAUUAGGAGGAACACCAGUGGCGAAGGCGACUUUCUGGACUGUAACUGACGCUGAGGCGCGAAAGCGUGGGGAGCAAACGGAUUAGAUACUCCGGUAGUCCCACGCUGUAAACGAUGAGUGCUAGGUGUAGAGGGUAUCGACUCC